rnacentral:rRNA from 1 species
CCUACGGGAGGCAGCAGUGGGGAAUAUUGCACAAUGGGCGAAAGCCUGAUGCAGCAACGCCGCGUGAGCGAUGAAGGCCUUCGGGUCGUAAAGCUCUGUUCUCAAGGAAGAUAAUGACGGUACUUGUGGAGGAAGCCCCGGCUAACUACGUGCCAGCAGCCGUGGUAAUAGGUCGGGGGCUAGCGUUAUCCGGAAUUACUGGGCGUAAGGGGUGCGUAGGUGGUUUCUUAGGUCAGAGGUGAAAGGCUAGGGGUAAACCGUAGUAAGCCUUUGAAACUGGGGAACUUGAGUGCAGGAGAGGAGAGUGGAAUUCCUAGUGUAGCGGUGAAAGGCGUAGAUAUUAGGAAGAACACCAGUUGCGAAGGCAGCUCUCUGGACUGUAACUGACACUGAGGCACGAAAGCGUGGGGAGCAAACAGGAUUAGAUACCCGAGUAGUC